GACGAACCGUGCAAACGUUAUUCGGAAUCACUGGGCAUAAAGGGCGCGUAGGCGGCUUUCUAAGUCAGGGGUGAAAUCCGGCAGCUCAACUGUCGCAGUGCCUUUGAUACUGGAGAGCUCGAGGGAGGUAGGGGUCUGUGGAACUUCCGGUGGAGCGGUGAAAUGCGUUGAUAUCGGAGGGAACGCCGGUGGCGAAAGCGACGGACUGGAUCUCUUCUGACGCUGAGGCGCGAAAGCCAGGGGAGCAAACGGG
rnacentral:rRNA from 1 species